UCAAGUGAGAACCUUGAAGACUGAAGUGGAGAAAGGUUCCAUGGAAACAGCAGUUGGACAUGGGUUAGUCGAUCCUAAGAGAUAGGGAAGCUCCGUUUUAAAGUGCAUGAUUAUCCAUGCCACCCAUCGAAAGGGAAUCCGGUUAAGAUUCCGGAACCUGGAUAUGGAUUCUUCACGGUAACGUAACUGAAUGUGGAGACGUCGGCGCGAGCCCUGGGAGGAGUUAUCUUUUCUUCUUAACAGCUUAUCACCCCGGAAUUGGUUUAUCCGGAGAUGGGGUCUUAUGGCUGGAAGAGGCCAGCACCU
rnacentral:rRNA from 11 species